rnacentral:rRNA from 1 species
AUGUUUGAUGUUCUAACGUGGACCCGUAAUCCGGGUUGCGGACAGUGUCUGGUGGGUAGUUUGACUGGGGCGGUCUCCUCCUAAAGAGUAACGGAGGAGCACGAAGGUUGGCUAAUCCUGGUCGGACAUCAGGAGGUUAGUGCAAUGGCAUAAGCCAGCUUGACUGCGAGCGUGACGGCGCGAGCAGGUGCGAAAGCAGGUCAUAGUGAUCCGGUGGUUCUGAAUGGAAGGGCCAUCGCUCAACGGAUAAAAGGUACUCCGGGGAUAACAGGCUGAUACCGCCCAAGAGUUCAUAUCGACGGCGGUGUUUGGCACCUCGAUGUCGGCUCAUCACAUCCUGGGGCUGAAGUAGGUCCCAAGGGUAUGGCUGUUCGCCAUUUAAAGUGGUACGCGAGCUGGGUUUAGAACGUCGUGAGACAGUUCGGUCCCUAUCUGCCGUGGGCGCUGGAGAACUGAGGGGGGCUGCUCCUAGUACGAGAGGACCGGAGUGGACGCAUCACUGGUGUUCGGGUUGUCAUGCCAAUGGCACUGCCCGGUAGCUAAAUGCGGAAGAGAUAAGUGCUGAAAGCAUCUAAGCACGAAACUUGCCCCGAGAUGAGUUCUCCCUGAGACUUAGAGUCUCCUGAAGGAACGUUGAAGACGACGACGUUGAUAGGCCGGGUGUGUAAGCGCAGCGAUGCGUUGAGCUAACCGGUACUAAUGAACCGUGAGGCUUAACCUUACAAC